AGGGCAUACGGUGGAUGCCUAGGCGCCAGGAGCCGAAGAAGGACGCGGUAAGCUGCGAAAAGCCACGGGGAACUGCAAGCGAGUAUUGAUCCGUGGAUAUCCGAAUGGGGAAACCCGGCCAUCGUAAUGGAUGGUCAUCCGCAAGGAAGGGAACCCGGGGAACUGAAACAUCUAAGUACCCGGAGGAAAAGAAAUCAAACGAGAUGCCCACAGUAGCGGCGAGCGAAGAGGGCAGAGCCCAAACCUGUAAGCUACGGCUUAUGGGGGUUGAGGACUGACGUAAUUAAGGCCAGGCUUAGCUGAACUACCUGGGAAGGUAGGCUAGAUAAGGUAAGAGCCCUGUAAGCGAAAGGCAGAGCCUUAAGGUCAGUAUCCAGAGUACCACGGAGCACGAGGAAUUCUGUGGGAAGCAGGGGGGACCACCCUCCAAGGCUAAAGACUAACUGGCGACCGAUAGCGCAUAGUACCGUGAGGGAAAGGUGAAAAGAACCCCGGGAGGGGAGUGAAAUAGUACCUGAAACCGUAUGUCUACAAGCAGUCGGAGCGAAAGCGACGGCGUGCCUAUUGAAGAAUGAACCAACGAGUUAUCUGCACUAGCGAGGUUAAGUGGAAGACACGGAGCCGUAGCGAAAGCGAGUCUGAAAAGGGCGGCGAGUUAGUGUAGGUAGACCCGAAACCGCAGUGAUCUACCCAUGUCCAGGUUGAAGCGCAGGUAAAAAUGCGUGGAGGACCGAACCGGUGAGCGUUGAAAAGCUUUCGGAUGAGAUGUGGGUAGGGGUGAAAUUCCAAUCGAACGCGGAGAUAGCUGGUUCUCCCCGAAAUAGCUUUAGGGCUAGCCUCAGGUAGUAAGUAUAGGCGGUAGAGCACUGAUCGGGCUAGGGGCCAUAAAGGUUACCGAACCCUGUCAAACUCCGAAUGGAUAUACUGCAGAGCCUGGGAGUCAGACUACGAGUGAUAAGAUCCGUGGUCAAAAGGGAAACAGCCCAGACCACCGGCUAAGGUCCCAAAUGCCGUACUAAGUGGAAAAGGAUGUGGGGAUUCAUAAACAACCAGGAUGUUGGCUCAGAAGCAGCCACCAUUUAAAGAGUGCGUAAUAGCUCACUGGUCGAGAGUCCCUGCGCCGAAAAUUUCCGGGGCUAAAGUACGGAACCGAAGCCGUGGCUGUGCAUGUAAGUGCACGGGGUAGGGGAGCGUUGCCACAGGGGUGAAGCUGGUCUGGAAGGACUGGUGGACUUGUGGGAAGUGAGAAUGUUGGUAUGAGUAGCGAAAAGAAAGGUGAGAAUCCUUUCCACCGAAAGCAUAAGGAUUCCUGAGCAACGAUCGUCGUCUCAGGGUAAGUCGGGACCUAAUCCGAGGCAAAGAGCGUAGGAGAUGGACAACAGGUUGAUAUUCCUGUACCGGCAGCAAUUGUUUGAGCGAAGGAGUGACACAGAAGGGCAGGCAGGCGCGAGACUGGAUUGUCGCGUGCAAGCGUGUAGGGUAGUGUACAGGCAAAUCCGUACACUGAAAGCCUGAGGCGUUACGCGGAGCGAGCAGAGAUGCGAGCGAAGCUGCUGAUCCCACACUGUCGAGAAAAGCUUCUAGUGAGAGAGCUGCCGCCCGUACCGUAAACCGACACAGGUAUGCGGGGAGAGAAUCCUAAGGUGCGCGGGAGAACCCUCGUUAAGGAACUCGGCAAAAUGUACCCGUAACUUCGGGAUAAGGGUAGCCGUCUUGGUGAAGGAGCUUGCCUCUGGAGCUGAAGGCGGUCGCAGAGAAGAGGCCCAAGCGACUGUUUACCACAAACACAGGUGCCUGCUAAAGCGAAAGCUGACGUAUAGGUGCUGACACCUGCCCAGUGCUGGAAGGUUAAGGAAGGAUGUCCGGGCAACCAAAGCAUUCGACCGAAGCCCCAGUGAACGGCGGCCGUAACUAUAACGGUCCUAAGGUAGCGAAAUUCCUUGUCGGGUAAGUUCCGACCCGCACGAAAGGUGUAACGAUUUGGGCACUGUCUCAACGAGGGACCCGGUGAAAUUGAAAUACCUGUGAAGAUGCAGGUUACCCGCGACUGGACAGAAAGACCCCAUGGAGCUUUACUGUAACCUGACAUUGGGUUUUGUUGUAUUACGUACAGGAUAGGUGGGAGGCUUGGAAGGCUGGACGCUAGUCUGGCUGGAGCCGGCGUUGGGAUACCACCCUUGAUACAACGGAAUUCUAACCGAGAGAGUAACGAAAUCCGGGACAGUGUCAGGCGGGCAGUUUGACUGGGGCGGUCG
rnacentral:rRNA from 1 species